rnacentral:lncRNA from 1 species
CUGUGAAAUUCGAAAAGGACAAGGAGAAAACAGAAAUGAACGACGAGAUGUCAAGGAUUUCCGACCCACUUUCCCCGAUAACAGAAGCACCUGAUAACACUGAGAUGAUAGAACAAGAACUGAGGGAAUGUAAGUA